ACCAACAGACCAAUACAAUUCCCCUCAGGCAAAUAGCCUAAUUCAUUGCACAUGCCAGAAAUACAAAGAGCUUAGCUUACACAUGAAAGCUAUUUCUGUUACUAAAUCAAUAGGAAGAAAAUACAGAGGAAAGCUUUCAAGACUACAAGAAAAAGUGAGCUGACAACAAGAAAAAAAUACACGUGAUGACAGACCAGUGACAUCCAGACCCUUCCGUGGCCACUGCGGCCAUAACUCUGAAGUACACGCACCAUGAACCCCACAAGGCACAAGAGAUGCUGCGUGGUGAGCAGGUGUCUGAGUCUGUUUGGUUCAAGUGCCUUCCCGAGGC